rnacentral:rRNA from 1 species
CCUACGGGAGGCAGCAGUGGGGAAUAUUGCACAAUGGGGGCAACCCUGAUGCAGCGAAGCCGCGUGAGUGAAGAAGUAAUUCGUUAUGUAAAGCUCUAUCAGCAGGGAAGAAAAUGACGGUACCUGAGUAAGAAGCCCCGGCUAACUACGUGCCAGCAGCCGCGGUAAUACGUAGGGGGCAAGCGUUAUCCGGAUUUACUGGGUGUAAAGGGAGCGUAGACGGCAGUGCAAGUCUGGUGUGAAAGGCGGGGGCUCAACCCCCGGACUGCACUUGAAACUGGACGGCUGGAGUGCAGGAGAGGUAAGUGGAAUUCGUAGUGUAGCGGUGAAAUGCGUAGAUAUUAGGAGGAACUCCGACGGCGAAGGCAGCCUGCUGGACCGCGACUGACGUUGAGGCUCGAAAGCGUGGGGAGCGAACAGGAUUAGAUACCCCAGUAGUC